rnacentral:tRNA from 1 species
UAAAAAGUCGGGAUAGCUCAGUU